rnacentral:rRNA from 1 species
CACCGCGGUUAUACGAGAGGUCCAAGUUGAUAUUAACCGGCGUAAAGAGUGGUUAGGAGUAAUAUUACAAACUAAAGCCGAACACCUUCAGAACUGUUAUACGUACCCGAAGGCACGAAGAACUACCACGAAAGUGGCUUUACCAACCCUGAACCCACGAAAGCUAUGACA